UCACUCUUAUGUGGGAGAAGACUCUGACCCCCUCAAAAAGAGGUACAGUCAAUUAAAAUGGUUCUGUGCCCUCCAUAUCACCUGGCUUGGCAAGAUACUGAAGAUUUAUAUUGGGAACUCCACUGAAGCCAUCUUUAAGUUCUCCAUCUCCUGAAUGUAUGACUGUAAAGACUGCAGCUGCUGGAGCAGGCGGAACAGAGCUACAGCUCCCUGUCUAUCUUCUGGCUCUGCAUCUCUGUGAGGAAGUCCUUGUCUCAGAGAAAGGAGAUGGUUUUAUUGAGGCAGAUCCCCCCAGGAGCUUGAAGUGCUACUGGAAGCAAGCAGAGGCUGUCCUGUGGAGACAAGGCUCAUGGUGAACUGAGAUGUUCUAUGGUCUGGAAGCAGUUGGUGGGAGCUUCACCUCCUCUAACGGCAGGAAAACUUUGGAGACACAGCUGAAGGAUUGAACAAUACCUACCAGGGAGGUAAAGAGGAUGGGGCUUUAAAACACCUACAGCUGGCUUCUACACCCCUCUGACCUGCAGUAAGUGACCUUCUUUCUUUUCCCAUCUUCUGCUGUCUCAGCAUAGAGAGUCAACUCAUCCCCAAGGCCACGUUUUGCUAUUGAUAUAUGCAAGCUCAAUUUAAUGAUUCUCCCAGCACUAUGGUCAUGUCUGCAGUCGUGUCAUUAAUGUAACUACAUCAAGCUUUUGUCAGGCAGUUUUGCUAUAUUAGAACAAUGCUAUUUCCUGUCCUAUUCUAUUCUAUUAUAUUCUAUUAUAACCAAAAUGUCUGAAGAAUUGGUAAUAAUAUUCAAUAUGUAUUAUGCUUUGGGCUUGAAUUCAG
rnacentral:lncRNA from 1 species